CCUACGGGUGGCAGCAGUCGAGAAUCAUUCACAAUGGGGGAAACCCUGAUGGUGCGACGCCGCGUGGGGGAAUGAAGGUCUUCGGAUUGUAAACCCCUGUCAUGUGGGAGCAAAUUAAAAAGAUAGUACCACAAGAGGAAGAGACGGCCAACUCUGUGCCAGCAGCCGCGGUAAAACAGAGGUCUCAAGCGGUGUUCGGAAUCACUGGGCGGAAAGGGUGCGUAGGCUGUUUCGUAAGUCGUGUGUGAAAGGCGCGGGCUCAACCCGCGGACGGCACAUGAUACUGCGAGACUAGAGUAAUGGAGGGGGAACCGGAAUUCGCGGUGUAGCAGUGAAAUGCGUAGAUAUCGAGAGGAACACUCGUGGCGAAGGCAGGUUCCUGGACAUUAACUGACGCUGAGGCACGAAGACCAGGGGAGCGAAAGGGAUUAGAUACCCGAGUAGUC
rnacentral:rRNA from 1 species